GGGGCUGAUUCUGGAUUCGACGGGAUUUGCGAAACCCAAGGUGCAUGCCGAGGGGCGGUUGGCCUCGUAAAAAGCCGCAAAAAAAUAGUCGCAAACGACGAAAACUACGCUUUAGCAGCUUAAUAACCUGCUUAGAGCCCUCUCUCCCUAGCCUCCGCUCUUAGGACGGGGAUCAAGAGAGGUCAAACCCAAAAGAGAUCGCGCGGAUGCCCUGCCUGGGGUUGAAGCGUUAAAACGAAUCAGGCUAGUCUGGUAGUGGCGUGUCCGUCCGCAGGUGCCAGGCGAAUGUAAAGACUGACUAAGCAUGUAGUACCGAGGAUGUAGAAAUUUCGGACGCGGGUUCAACUCCCGCCAGCUCCACCA
rnacentral:tmRNA from 1 species